rnacentral:sRNA from 1 species
UAAGUCCAGUGUCAGGCGGCUAUGCAUACGGCAAGCUUGCUUGCAAGUAUGCAUAGACAUCUGACACGACAACAGAAAUCGAGAAUAAGCGCGAUAGCGCGAAUUCGAGAUUCCUGUUAGGAUUGCGAAAGUUGCGCAGCAACGAAGCAAUCCGCAGGACUUA